rnacentral:rRNA from 1 species
UAGGGAAUCUUCCACAAUGGACGCAAGUCUGAUGGAGCAACGCCGCGUGAGUGAAGAAGGUUUUCGGAUCGUAAAGCUCUGUUGUUGGUGAAGAAGGAUAGAGGUAGUAACUGGCCCUUUAUUUGACGGUAAUCAACCAGAAAGUCACGGCUAACUACGUGCCAGCAGCCGCGGUAAUCGUAGGUGGCAAGCGUUGUCCGGAUUUAUUGGGCGUAAAGCGAGCGCAGGCGGAAGAAUAAGUCUGAUGUGAAAGCCCUCGGCUUAACCGAGGAAUUGCAUCGGAAACUGUUUUCUUGAGUGCAGAAGAGGAGAGUGGAACUCCAUGUGUAGCGGUGGAAUGCGUAGAUAUAUGGAAGAACACCAGUGGCGAAGGCGGCUCUCUGGUCUGCAACUGACGCUGAGGCUCGAAAGCAUGGGUAGCGAACAGGAUUAGAUACCCUGGUAGUCCAUGCCGUAAACGAUGAGUGCUAAGUGUUGGG